rnacentral:rRNA from 1 species
GAUGAACGCUGGCGGCGUGCCUAAUACAUGCAAGUCGAGCGAACGGACGAGAAGCUUGCUUCUCUGAUGUUAGCGGCGGACGGGUGAGUAACACGUGGAUAACCUACCUAUAAGACUGGGAUAACUUCGGGAAACCGGAGCUAAUACCGGAUAAUAUUUUGAACCGCAUGGUUCAAAAGUGAAAGACGGUCUUGCUGGCACUUAUAGAUGGAUCCGCGCUGCAUUAGCUAGUUGGUAAGGUAACGGCUUACCAAGGCAACGAUGCAUAGCCGACCUGAGAGGGUGGUAGGCCACACGGGAACUGAGACACGGUCCAGACUCCUACGGGAGGCAGCAGUAGGGAAUCUUACGCAAUGGGCGAAAGCCUGACGGAGCAACGCCGCGUGAGUGAUGAAGGUCUUCGGAUCGUAAAACUCUGUUAUUAGGGAAGAACAUAUGUGUAAGUAACUGUGCACAUCUUGACGGUACCUAAUCAGAAAGCCACGGCUAACUACGUG